UGAAGGUACGGGGUCCUGUAGGUACCCAAACUGUUUCUUGGAGCAGAGCUACUUCAAUUCCUUUAUUGUAUAACAAAAUUAAGGACUUAUGACAGAUGGCAGAGGUUAAAGUGUCAUGGUAACAUCUAAUCACAGCUGUUUACAGCACUGACAGAGAAACUUCUUGUUACAAAUGAAGUUAUCUUCAGAUUCUCCUUGUUAGAGAUGAUCCUUUUAUGAAUGCUCUCUGAUCAAUGACUAUGUGACUGGCAUUUCAGGAAUUAGGACAUGGAAGCUUUCUGCCCUCUCAAGGACUGUGUUCUACAUGGCAAGAUUAACAUCAAACUUGGUGACAGGAUGAAGAAAUUUUGCAAAGAACAGACUGUAGAGUAACUGAAAUAAUCAAAUUGAAAGCCCAUGAGUCAGAGGACAAGGGGAAGAUGUGAAGAGGCAAGACCAGCAGAGCACCCAGUGACUGCUAAUCAAACAAAAUUCAUCACUCUUCUCUACUAUCCUCUGCCUCAAAUUGCAGAUACAAAAUUGCUAGUGGGAGCUUUACCUUCCGAGCUGGACUACAGCCUUGUCAGAGUUCACGGAAGGAGCACAAAGGACCAAAUCAUAAGAAAACAAGGAGCAAGCAGAGGAAAGGGAAGUGGGUUAAAAAGGGGAAAGAAAUACAUUAAAUUUGCAACAAAUGUACCCCUCAAAGUAAGAUGUGAACAUACGAAGAAUCCCUAUGGGCAGUAAGUAAACGCCAAAUAAGGACAGGAAAAUGGACAGAAGACGUGACCAAACAGUUCACACAUAAGGAACUCCAAGUGCCAAUAGUCACACGUAAAGAGGCCUAACCUCAUCAGGAAAAAAAUGCGAUGCAAAGCCCAAGCUGGAAUAUUUCCGUCCAGCAGACUAGCAAAAAGUUACAGAAUAUUGGCAAGAAUAUGGCAUAACCACUAGUGAUGACAUCUGCUAAUGCCGAUGCAGCUUGGUCUCACCAAAGCUGAACAAUCAUGACCCAAUAUCCCACUUGAGGCACGUCAGAAGGAUGGCCACACCAGCAAAAGAUAAGAAACAACACAGCCCAAUUGUAGCAGGAUGAAUAAUUAGUACACUCAUUCAAUGGAAUGCUGCUCUAUAGCAGCAAAAAUUGACUCAUUUUUAAAAUGCAGAAAGGAAGCUUUAAUUUUUUAAAUCAUGUGCAAAAGCACAGAAAACCAAAUAACAUGUUAUUCAUGAAUACAUGCUUUGUAAGUAUUUUCAUUAUUAUUUUAUGUUAUUUUCGUAUUUUGCCUGAGUUAUUGUUUGUUUUUUACUCUUUUGGGGGACCCACCACCCAGCUCCCAAUAAAUUCACACACAGAGGCUUAUUACUUAAAGUACCUGGUCUUAGCUUGGCUUGUUUCUUGCCAGCUUUCCUUAACUUUUCCCAUCUAUCUUUUACCUCUGGGCUUUUCUCAUUCUCGUUCUCUUACUUCUGUAUUUUAUUCUUACUCCCUGGCUUGCUGUGUAGCUGGGUGGCUGGCCCCUGGAGUCCUCCUCCUUCCCUGGCUCCUAGCUGUCAUCUCCCAGAUUCCUUCUUCUAUAUAUUCUCUCUGCCUGCUAGCCCUGCCUAUCCUUUCUCCUGCCUCACCACUGGCCAUUCAGGUGUUUUAGACAGGCACAGUAACACAGCUUCACAGAGUUAAACAAAUGUAACAUAAGCAAAAAUAACACACCUUAAAAUAAUAUUCUACUACAUGCCUGCAUGUAUGUCUGUAAACCAUGUGCAUGUCAGGUGCCCUAGGAGGCUGUAAAAUGGCGUCUGGUCCCCCAGAACUGGAG